UACGUAGGUGACCAGCGUUGUCCGGAUUUACUGGGCGUAAAGAGCGCGCAGGCGGUCGUUCAAGUCGAGUGUGAAAGCCCCCGGCUCAACUGGGGAGGGUCACACGAUACUGAUCGACUCGAAGGCAGGAGAGGGUAGUGGAAUUCCCGGUGUAGUGGUGAAAUGCGUAGAUAUCGGGAGGAACACCAGUGGCGAAGGCGACUACCUGGCCUGUUCUUGACGCUGAGGCGCGAAAGCUAGGGGAGCAAACGGG
rnacentral:rRNA from 1 species